UGCCCGGCACCUGCGUGGCCGGGCACAUGCUGAAUCUGGCUGCAGGGCUGGCACCUGGGUCCCAGGAGCAGAUGCCCUGCACUGCAGCUCCCACAGGCUAACCUGGCGUCUGCUGCCAGCUUCCCCUGUUCAGGGAAAGCCCCGCGGCCGGGCCCCCACUGUGGGCCAGCUGGUGCUCGGAGGCGCCUCGGCUAAGAAUAACCCAGCCCUGACGUCAAGAAUCCAGGAAACCGGCUGAAAUGGCUUCCAGAGGCAGCCAGGAUGUUUCCCCAGGCCCUGCGCUGCGACCCGAUGCGUUCUUGCACCAGUCUGUAGGUGUGGCCCUGAGAAGAGAUGCCCUGUGUGCCCUCCAUCUGCAUCUGAGACCCUGAGCAGGCAAAGCCACCCUGCAGUGCACGUGACACUGCCAGCUGCGGCCUCACCUACCUUGCAAAAGAAUUCACAGAGAUCUGGAGGGGGAUGGUUGUUUUCCAGCAGAGGAGCGAUUGCCUGAAAGACAAGGAACAGACACCGGUCAGCGCGAUGUGCACGAUCCACAGUCCCUGACUACAAGGACAUCACGGGAAGCAAAUAGGAUGUGACACAUCCUUCUGCUUCAUGGAAGGGCCCUGGACCUGUGCCCUGUAGGCCCCGAGGGGUGACUCUCAGGCCGGCAGCAGAGUUUCCCACUUGCUGGUGGUGUGGCCAUCAGAGCAGGCCACUUCACCUCUCAGGACAGUCGCUGCUCCAGGAAGUCACCGCAGGCUCAGACAAGGGACCCAGGAGAGCUGCGUACCUUGGUCCCCACCACGAUGGCCCCCAUAGUGGCCUGUCUUGUCUGUGUGUUGAAGUGGACAGACAACAUCACUGGCUUUGAUGACUGCAAGCCAGGACCCCUGCCCCGCUCUAGUGACAACCCAAACCAUCCAGAGCCCCGUGCCGUCUGAUAUGAAGGUAGGAUGUUCCCUUCACUACCCCUGCAGCUGACUUUCUCGGGAGCCUCCCGCCUAGCCGUACAGUAAUGACGGCUCAGGACAGUGGUCGCUCAGGACAUCAGGGAAAGGAAGUGUCACUGGACACUUCAGAAUGAGGUCACAGAGGACACAGAUGCCAAGUUCCCCACAAGUGUCAACCAUGGACGGACACACAGAGCUAGGGACAGGACCCAGGCCGCCCUGUCCCACAAAGCGGACAUCAGCCACAGGUAACACUUUGAAAUCACUGGUUUUUGAAACAGGGUCUUGCUAUGUAGUUCUGGCUGGCCUCAAACUCAUAUUGAUCCUCCUGCCUCAGUCUCGAGUGCUAGGAUUACAGGCAUGUGCCACCACGCCCAGCGACACUUCAGAAUUAUAACUGACAUGAGAUCAAUGAUUUGGGGUGAAAUGUAACCCACUCCUCCAGUCACAUCAAUGCCAGUUUCACCUCUCGUGUCAAAGCCACGAGGACCAUUACUACACAGUGACGAGGAUGGCUGUGGACAGGCUGGAUAUCCCUGCACCAUGCUGGGUGGUGGGUGUGAGGCUAGCAAGAUAAAGACUAGGGUCAAGGGCAUUGUCUGCAAGGGCACAGCAGGACCCGAACCUUGUCUGUGACCCAGAGUCUGUGUCCUCCUGUGUGCUGUCCACACCCCUGGGGAACAGAGGACUCACCUGGGGACAAAACUGUUUGAGGAGAAAUUGGCAAUGGAGGACAAAACCCUGAACGGGAGAUCUCGAUGGCCCCAGCCCUGCCAGCAGUCAGUGCCAGGUGAACCGGUCCUGACGCUGGGGCUCAUCCCCAAGCAGCCACUGGAGAAAGGACCCGGGCAGGGUGCAGUGCCCUCCAGCUGGGUCCAGACAGUCCCCGGCUCAGCAGGCCACUGCCACCACCUUCUCCUACUCAUUUACUUAAUUCUGUGGCACUGGAGGUGGAACCUAGGGCCUUUGCACUAAGCUACAUCCCCAGCCCUUUAAAAAAAUUUUAUCUUGAGACAAGGCCUCAUUAAAUUGCCCAGGCUGGGCCUGCAUUUGAGACCCUCCUGCUUCAGACUCCCAGAGUGGUGGGAUUACAGGUGUGGGCUUCCACGCUGGCUGCAGGUGGAGGGGCUGGCCUGGCAUUGCCAUCAGGUGUGGGCUUGGCACUCCUGGGGCCCUGUGUCACUGGAUCCUCCCGGCAAACCUGGGAGGUCAAGCACAACUGUUUCCCUUUCUACAGACGAAGGGACGAGGGCCUGGGAGUCCUGUCCUGGUCACACGGUGGUGGCCAGCUUUAAGUGGACAAUUAACAAAUAAGCCCAUCUUUUCAUGGAGUCUUUCUAAAGUCCUGCGACUCUGCCCAGCAGCACCCAGGAGCCUGGGCUCACAGAACCCUCCCAGCAGCGGUGUCAGUAAGCCUGGAACAGACGGAACCGACUGAUCCAUUUCACAGACAACAGGAGCCUGAGGCCUGGGGCUUAAGUUGGCAGGAAGUGGCUGGACGGCCAUCUGGUUAACUAAAAGUGACCUAGAGCCAAUUCAGAACAGGGUGGGCUGGUGCCUCUCAAGAACAGGGUACAUCUGGGACCUCUCUGUCUCCAAAGAGGGGCCACCUGACCCUCUGGGUCACCCAGAGAUGCUGCUGACCUGACAGCGCCCAGCACAGCCUCUCGAAGGACUGUCUGCCCUCGAGUGUGAGCCUCCCUGGUGCUCCACCGGGCGGAGCAGGAUGUGGAGGCCAGCGUGGGCUGCCCUGCGAGGCCUCAGCUUCAGGAACAAACCAACGAGAGCCCCCAGACCAGGGUAACUGAUCCCACAGCCCCUCGGCCACGCUACAAAAAAGGCUACCAGGGAAGAGCAAAGUCUCAAUGAUGCCUGGGGACGGGCAGGGCCUGUUCCUGACCGCGCUCAUGGACUCCUGGACGCCCCAGUGUGAGAAACCAGCAGCCGAGGCUGUGGGUCCCCACCCAGGGAUUCAACCGGUCAAACAAAAACAUCUGCAGGUCAGCAGAACAGGGAGGCUGCUCCUCCUCCCUGUGCCCUAGGCGACGCCGUGUGAAGACGGAGCUGUGUCCUCACAGCGUCCACAGUGCCGGACAGCAGGAGGGAGCCGGAGCCGAAGGGCCCGGAGGACACGUGCAGGUGUCAAGGCCACAGCUUUUCACAGAGGGACCUCGUGUCUGUGGGCGCUGUUAUACUCAGGGGCCCUGGAAGCAGUUCCCACAAACAGACAGGCGGCUGUAGUUUCACGGAAAUGAGAUCCCUUCCCAUCACCGCCCAAGGUCGUGGCCAGGCUGGUACUCGGCUGUGAACUGGACUCAGGUUUAACAUUAAGGCCUCUUUUUUUUUUUUCAGUAACUAAAUCUAGGGCUUCACACCUGCCGGGCAAAAGUGCCCCACCAAGCACAUACUUAGCCCUUUUUGUUUUGGGAAGCGUCUAAGAUACCCGUGGACUUGAACUUGGGACCCUCCUGCCUCAGCCUCCUGGAUAGCUGGGGUUGGGGUGUGCACCGCAGUGCCUGGCUAGCCUACAUUCUUCACUGCCAUGCUGAGCUCUGCAGGACCACAGCUGGGUCCAGAUGCCAGGCCCACGCCUGUGCGGUGCCACCCCAGGUGUCAGCCACCGAGAGUCCACGGCUCGGGCACCUGGUCAGGGCCAUGGAGAAAGCAGCCCAAGUUCCGGCAGGAAAUGGGCACCCAGAAAUUGGCAAGCUCGGCCAGGAGGGGACUGCGGGCCGCUGGGUCAGACGGGGACACAGUUGCUGCCUGGGAUGGGGGCUCCCAGGGCCCCUAAUGCUCUGCCAGCCGUGGUACCCAUGAGGGGGCACUGUGGAGUGGGGAGAGGGGCUGGGCCCCCAAACCCGGCUCUUCCGGGUCAUCGGCUCCUGCCCAGUGGAAAGUUCAGCUCAGCCACCCUGCCUCAGUCACUGCAGCUGGGGUUUCUGGGGUCGGCCCCGCUCUCCCAGGCCCCGAUGAGCACACAGGCUCCACGUCGCUUCAGACUGCAGUGCCCAGUGGGGCCCUUGGGAGGGGAAGGUGUCACCCUUCCCACCACCCACGCUGCCUCCUGACCUCCUGCCUCUGCACACGCUGGUCCCCUGCCUGUCUGUCUCUCCCUGUGAGAGCCAUCUUGACCUCCUUCCCAUGUGCCAUGCAAGCCCUGGCCUGGCCACCUACUCCGAAAGUCCUUGGGCAUUCCUUCCCAGGUAGAGGGGGCUAAGGGUUUCUCUCCCGAGACCCAAGUCUUGUCUUGAUUCUACAGAUGCCUCACACACAGGAACCCCAGCCCUGCCUGGCCCAUCCUGCCAAGCUCCCAUUCCAGGGGACAGAGCCUGGCACACACAUGGGAUCAGAAGUCUGCUACGUGAACUGACACCAGCUGCAGGAGUGGGGGUGACCGGGUGCUGGGGUCAGCAAGGGAAGGCACAGAGUGGCCACAGAAAUUCAGCAGCCUUCCCUGAGCACCUAUUAUGUACCAGAAACUGGCGGGGGUGGCUUGCCAUGCUGUCUGGGAUCACAAGUGCACUCCUAUUGAUCUCUCAAAACCCAGUUCUAAAGUCCCUGCCUCUGGGAAGCUUUCUGGCUCCUUUCCCAAGCAACUCUGGGACUCUACCUUGCACUUCACGUCUGCUUUUCAGAGACCACAUCUUCCUGCAUCUGCCUCGAGCCUCUGUGAGUCUAAAUACACGGGGCUCGUACACACACAACUGUUUGGUUUCUUCUUCCUUCCUAUCGAGAGUCAUAUUCUAUAGCUUAAAAUUCCUGGGGAAGACGGUUCACCUCGCAGGUGCUUACAUUACUGUUGAAUCCCAGAAAAUAUCACCUCACUUCACGCAGGAGAGGGAAUCAAAGCCAGGUUCUGACUGGGGGUUAAGUCGGAGGUGCCCCGGGGGCAGGAAGCAACCAGGAGGACCACGCAGGGCCCAGCUCUGCUUCCAAGGGACAGGCGAGAAAGGGGCCGCGAGGGACUCACCACGAUGAUGUUCUCGUGCUCCUGGGUGGUCAGGUUGGUGUUCUAAGGGGGGAAGGAGAGAGGAGGAAGCCGAGGUUAGGGGGGUGGGGUGUCUGCAUACGCCCGAGGGUCCGCAGAGUUGGGACCAAACAGUCAUUUAUCUAUGUAUCUAUCUAUCUGUCUGUCUAUCUUUCCUUCUUUCUUUCUUUUAUAUCCUUUUUUUUUUUUUUUGUCUUUUUCCUUUUUAUCGGUACCAGGGAUCGAACUCACGACUGCCUGCUUGCAAGGCAGGUGCUUAUGCCGCUGAGCUAAAUCCCCAGCCCCCCUUUCUUUCUUUUUUAAAGCUGUCCUGGUGAGCAAGCACAAGGCCUCCAUGCUGAGCUACAUUCCCCGUCCUUUACAUUUGGAGACCAAGUCUGGCCAAGUGCUUUAGGUGGGAUUGGAAUCUGUGACCAGGAUCCUGCCUCGGCACUCCCAGAGUGCCGGAGUGUGGAUGUGUGCUGUUUCCCGCAGACCGGAUCACCUCCAGGGCAGGCUGGGCAGCGGGCAGUCAGGGUGAACUGAGCUCCGUGUCUGCAGCCUUGAGGGGUCUCACCUCAGGGACAGUCAGUUCCCACCUCGGGGACGGGAAGCCGGUCCCUGCCCUCCUUGGGCUGCUGAAAGGGCACCUGGCUUUGUCAAGGGACGCAGCUUAGAUGCCAGAAGCAGGUUCCUAACUCACAGGGCACAGGUUAGGAAACUUCCCUGUGAGUCUGAGCCGCACCAGGAGGCUUUCAGACGGAUGUGUGCACGCUUUUGAUGGCUCCUAACUAGGUUCCUGAGGAGCCCUGGCAUUCCAGAGGGGCACACAGAUUAUAGCAAUCAACUUGCAUACACACACAAAAGCUGCAUGGAUCUGAAAUCGUGUUAAUACAACUGGUCCUGUGAGUGUGACCCUGUGAGUGUGCGGCCCAGGAAAAGGAUAAACACUCAAUAAACAGGAAAUGGUGGAAAACCCAAA